CCGUUGCCGGCGACCGGCGCACGGGUGAGUAACACGUAUGCAACCUGCCCGUGGCAGGGGGAUAAGCGGGGGAAACCCCGUCUAAUACCGCGUAACGCGGCCUUGGGGCAUCCCAAGGCCGCCAAAGGGAGCAAUCCCGGCCACGGAUGGGCAUGCGGCGCAUUAGCUAGUCGGCGGGGUAACGGCCCACCGAGGCGACGAUGCGUAGGGGUUCUGAGAGGAAGGCCCCCCACACCGGUACUGAGACACGGACCAGACUCCUACGGGAGGCAGCAG
rnacentral:rRNA from 1 species